rnacentral:rRNA from 1 species
ACGGAAGGCAGCAGUGGGGAAUAUUGCACAAUGGGGGAAACCCUGAUGCAGCGACGCCGCGUGAGUGAAGAAGUAUUUCGGUAUGUAAAGCUCUAUCAGCAGGGAAGAAAAUGACGGUACCUGAGUAAGAAGCCCCGGCUAACUACGUGCCAGCAGCCGCGGUAAUACGUAGGGGGCAAGCGUUAUCCGGAUUUACUGGGUGUAAAGGGAGCGCAGACGGUUAAGCAAGUCUGAAGUGAAAGCCUGGGGCUCAACCCCGGAACUGCUUUGGAAACUGUUUGACUUGAGUGCUGGAGAGGUAAGCGGAAUUCCUAGUGUAGCGGUGAAAUGCGUAGAUAUUAGGAAGAACACCGGUGGCGAAGGCGGCUUACUGGACAGUAACUGACGUUGAGGCUCGAAAGCGUGGGGAGCAAACAGGAUUAGAUACCCUGGUA